rnacentral:rRNA from 1 species
GUCCACGCCGUAAACGAUGGGUGCUAGGUGUGGGGGGUGUCGACUCCCCCCGUGCCGAAGCUAACGCAUUAAGCACCCCGCCUGGGGAGUACGGCCGCAAGGCUAAAACUCAAAGGAAUUGACGGGGGCCCGCACAAGCAGCGGAGCAUGUGGUUUAAUUCGACGCGACGCGAAGAACCUUACCAAGGCUUGACAUGUACGGGAAUGUCGGAGAAAUUCGGCAGCCUUUCGGGGCUCGUACACAGGUGGUGCAUGGCUGUCGU